UCAUCGACCAGAAUACUUUGAGCAAAAUCAAAAUGAAAUUCUUCAUCAUUUUAUUGGUUUGCUUCGUUGCAUCUUUGGACAGCGCACCAAUGGAAUACAUAUCACCGAACAACAAACCAGCCAAGAAUUCCAUCAUAUAUACGAUAGACAAAUGGGGUGAAGAUGAAUGUCGCGCAGCAGCAAACAAUUGGUGUGGCACACCUUUGUUAGAACAUCCAGAAUGUCUAAAAUAUUUGUAGAAACCCAUUGAUAGUUAAUUCUCUUCAAUAAAAACAUAAUUUGUUCCAAAUUAAUCAAUGCAAAUGCUAUUGCUUAGAAGAAAUUACCAAAUAAAGAAUUUAAGAACAAA